rnacentral:lncRNA from 1 species
CACUCAGAUCAAGUAAGCUGUCAUAUGGAUGAAUGUCGCAGGUUGGAAUGAUCCGGAGUAGAACUGUCGGUGUCGUUCCCAUCGUCGUAGGCAUUUUCGGUGGAUUUUGUAGGUCGAUCAACAAUGGUUGCGUGAGUUUUAGCUGUCAAGCUGCUAUGCCGUGCUAGCCGAUUCUUGCGAUCUGGGAUACAAGGGAUGGACGUAUCCUGUGGAAUGAUCGUGUCAGCGAAGGUUUGAAUGUCGCUUAGGACUGGAAAGGAGGGAGUACGGAAACUGUAAUCAGUAUUCAGGAUCUCGCUGUACAUGGGCAAUGUUUAGUUUAGGUGUAUUAAAGUGGUAAUUGUUCGAAGUUAUUUGAAAAGAAUUCUGUUUCAGUGUUUAAGCGCUAAAACUGUUUGUUUUUUGUAAGCAAACGUAUGAUUUAUUGAUCUUCAUUUUUUACUUUAUAACGCUAACGCUAUACAAAUGAUUUUGUUACCAAAUUUAAGUGCGUAUAUAAACAAUAAAUUAAUACUAAAAUAUUUCGAUGAAGACACCAAUGAUGUUUAUUGAUACAUUUUUCUCCUAAGUGCUACUUUCUCAACUUAAAGCAAUAAGUUAUGCAGUAAUUAUACUUCUACGAGUAUAUUUAAACAAAUCAUCAUUCAAAAGCAUUUUACCCAAUACUUAACUUACAUUAAGUAAAAUUUAUCUUUGUCAUUUUAGUCACUUAUUUUUUUAUCAUUCACUAAGCAGUAAGCAAAAUAUAUUUACUAAAAUAAUAAAAAAAAAUACGAUAUUCAUGGUAAGUUGGAUUAGCUAUUUUAUAACACAAACGACUUGAUAUUUUCAUUCAUUAAUUCAGGAAAAUAAAUGUACAAUGAAAAAUAAGUUUUUAUAACCGAUUAAAUUUGUGUAAUGUGUAGUUUUACUCAUCAAUAUAGUAAAAAAAUAUAAUUUGCAUUCAAAUUGUACUAAAGAAUAUUUUAUACUAGCGUAUUUUAGUAACUUAAGUUAGAAUUAAGUAAACAAACAAAAAAAAUAUAAAUAUAAGGAACAUAUAAGGAAAAAAAAGGAAGGCCUUAAAAUAAUAAAUAUAAGGAAGAAAGAAAACUCCGGAUCCGGAUCUGUUUACUCAUCAUCAAGGAAACUUUAAGAAAUAACAUUACUUCAAAUGUCUGCUCGAAGAAAGAUUCAGAAACUUAAACAAUUGCCAAGCUGGAAAUCGAUUAAUGAGUACACAUAAACGCUACAUAGUAAAACUCGCGUGUCCUGUGAUGGAUACAGUAUAUUAUUAUACAUUAGCAUUCAUUGGUGUAUGAAUCGUCAUCGUCAUUGUGUCAGCAAAGACGCAUCAUCAAUUGCACAGAUUUGUGGCUACAAAUAUAUAAAUGAAAAGUGUUAUUUAGAACAUUAUUUAUUGUGUUGUGCAAUAAAAUAGGUCAAUAAUUACCUGUAUCCGGCAGUGCGAACAAUUUCAUUCAUAAACAUGGGUAAAUAUGACGACUGUCAGAUGGGCUAAGCAUGAAAAAAAGUCCUUAAACAAAAUCCCAUUGUUUCGCUAUUGUGUUUGAAAAUCUAAGCCACAGGAGGAUAUUAAGUACGACCAUGCUUUACCUUUAAUGGCGUAUGUAAAAAAAAUUAAGCCUAUAAUCAACAAUGAAUGUUCUAUACCAUCCUAAGCAAAUUCAAAAACAAAUUUGAUCAUGUUAAUUUCUGGCCUCCCACAAGCGGGUCUCACCAGUAUUGACAGAAGAAUGAUCACUCAUCGAUACAAAACAUACAUAAAGUAAUUAAUACAUGUAUACAGGCUAAAUAAAGUGAAGUUGCUAGAAAAUACCUACUACUUGGAAAAACAAUAAUUGGAGAAGAAACCACUACCUAACAACGUGAAACUUUGAUAUUCAAAAUUUUCAAAUCAUAUAUGGCUAAAGCAAAAAAAAUACUUAAGAAUUGAAAUGUAAAAGAAAACACCUUUAGUUACAAAAAUAGAAAGCGAGUCAUAUUUUAUAUUUUCUGGUAAAAUUGUUUAGUUUUAAAUGUUACCAAAUACACCAAAUGUUAUUAGAAAUGAAAGUAACUGCAAAUAGUUUAAUUCAUAUGUGUACAGUCAGUCAUAACCAACAUAAUACCUACGUAAUAUUUUAAGAUAAUCGUUUGUUUUUCUACAUUCGUUGUCUAUGUAUAUUCGUUGUUGGUAUUUACUAUUAUGAGGCAAAUAACAAAUAACUAUGCUUGUUAUUAAUUUGCAUAUACCUACAGAAAAUCCAACUUACCAUGAAUAUAAAAUAAUAUAGUAAGUGCAGAACAAAAACUUAGGGUUUUACAUGGUUUUAUGUUUUCCAGUGGAUCUGGUUAGAGCUAUGUCACGCUAAAUUGUGUUCUUUGCUUUCUUCUUACAAUACUUUUCAAAAGAACACUGUUUCGCAUGAGACGGUUCCUCAAAAAACAUAAUAUCGUGUAUGAGCUAAACUAAAACUUAGGGUUUUACAUGGUUUUAUGUUUUCCAGUGGAUCUGGUUAGAGCCAUGUCACGCUAAAUGGUGUUUAUUGCAUUUCUUCGUACAAUACUUUUCAAUAGAUCACUGUUUCGCAUGAGACGGUUCCUCAAAAAACAUAAUAUCGUGUAUGAGCUAAACAAAAACUUAGGGAUUACAUGGUUUUAUGUUUUCCAGUUGAACUGGUUAGAGCCAUGUCACGCUAAAUAGAAUUCUUGUCAUUUCUUCUUACAAUACUUUUCAAUAAAACACUGUUUCGCAUGAGACGGUUCCUCAAAAAACAUAAUAUCGUGUAUGAGCUAAACAAAAACUUAGGGUUUUACAUGGUUUUAUGUUUUCCAGUGGAUCUGGUUAGAGCUAUGUCACGCUAAAUGGUGUUCUUUGCAUUUCUUCUUACAAUACUUUUCAAUAAAACACUGUUUCGCAUGAGACGGUUCCUCAAAAAACAUAAUAUCGUGUAUAAGCUAAACUAAAACUUAGGGUUUUACAUGGUUUUAUGUUUUCCAGUGUAUCUGGUUAGAGCUAUGUCACGCUAAAUUGUGUUCUUUGCAUUUCUUCUUACAAUACUUUUCAAUAGAACACUGUUUCGCAUGAGACGGUUCCUCAAAAAACAUAAUAUCGUGUAUAAGCUAAACUAAAACUUAGGUUUUAUAUGGUUUUAUGUUUUCCAGUGGAUCUGGUUAGAGCCAUGUCACGCUAAAUGGUGUUUAUUGCAUUUCUUCGUACAAUACUUUUCAAUAGAUCACUGUUUCGCAUGAGACGGUUCCUCAAAAAACAUAAUAUCGUGUAUGAGCUAAACAAAAACUUAGGGAUUACAUGGUUUUAUGUUUUCCAGUUGAACUGGUUAGGGCCAUGUCACGCUAAAUAGAAUUCUUGUCAUUUCUUCUUACAAUACUUUUCAAUAAAACACUGUUUCGCAUGAGACGGUUCCUCAAAAAACAUAAUAUCGUGUAUGAGCUAAACAAAAACUUAGGGUUUUACAUGGUUUUAUGUUUUCCAGUGGAUCUGGUUAGAGCUAUGUCACGCUAAAUGGUGUUCUUUGCAUUUCUUCUUACAAUACUUUUCAAUAAAACACUGUUUCGCAUGAGACGGUUCCUCAAAAAACAUAAUAUCGUGUAUGAGGUAAACAAAAACUUAGGUUUUAUAUGGUUUUAUGUUUUCCAGUGGAUCUGGUUAGAGCCAUGUCACGCUAAAUGGUGUUUUUUGCAUUUCUUCUUACAAUACUUUUCAAUAGAACACUGUUUCGCAUGAGACGGUUCCUCAAAAAAACAUAAUAUCGUGUAUGAGCUAAACUAAAACUUAGGUUUUAUAUGGUUUUAUGUUUUCCAGUGGAUCUGGUUAGAGCCAUGUCACGCUAAAUGGUGUUUUUUGCAUUUCUUCUUACAAUACUUUUCAAUAGAACACUGUUUCGCAUGAGACGGUUCCUCAAAAAACAUAAUAUCGUGUAUGAGCUAAACUAAAACUUAGGUUUUAUACGGUUUUAUGUUUUCCAGUGGAUCUGGUUAGAGCCAUGUCACACUAAAUGGUGUUUAUUGCAUUUCUUCGUACAAUACUUUUCAAUAUAUCACUGUUUCGCAUGAGACGGUUCCUCAAAAAACAAAAUAUCGUGUAUGAGCUAAACAAAAACUUAGGUUUUAUAUGGUUUUAUGUUUUCCAGUGGAUCUGGUUAGAGCUAUGUCACGCUAAAUGGUGUUUUUUGCAUUUCUUCUUACAAUACUUUUCAAUAGAACACUGUUUCGCAUGAGACGGUUCCUCAAAAAACAUAAUAUCGUGUAUGAGCUAAACAAAAACUUAGGUUUUAUAUGGUUUUAUGUUUUCCAGUGGAUCUGGUUAGAGCCAUGUCACGCUAAAUAGCAUUCUUGUCAUUUCUUCUUUCCAUCCUUUAUAUUAUAUUAAAUAAUAUUUCAUACGGUAUUAUUUCGUUCUUUAAUUUAAUGUGUUUUUAGUGCUUCUGAAUGUGAUUUUGUUUUAAAUACUUAGCUUAUUAGCAUUCAUCAGUAUCCAAGAAUUCAUCAUAUUACUGCUAAUCAAUAAACAAACAACGGUUUUAGCGUUUAAAUACCGAAAAAACAACCUGCCUGUUCAUUUAUUACUUGUUUUAUUAAACAGGAAUUUGCAUAUCGAUCGUUUUCAAUUAACUUCGAACAGUUACAACUACACGUAAACUGAGCAUGUAGUCUAUCUACAGCAAGAUCGUGACCGCUGACUGCAGCUCUCCUUCUCCCUCCAUUUCACUCCCAAUCGACAUUUUCACCUUUGCUGAUAUGAUUACUCCACAGGAUACCUCCAUCCCCUGCAUACCUGGUCGCUAGAUUCGGCUGGCACGUCAUAUCGGUUUGACAGCCAACUCACGUAACUAUUGUUGAUUGAUCCACAGUCCACUGAAGUGCCUACGAUGAAGGGAACAACAUGGACAGUUCUACUCCGAAUUACUCCAACCCAUGCGAUGUUCAUCCAUGCGACAACCCACCUGAUCUGAGUGGAACUUAACUGAAGCAAGAGAGUGAUGCCUAAUUCCAUCUGCCAACUAGCUCCACUUCUCUCCCGUGCACCAGUCGCACCCACACCGACGUGUUCAUCUUGCCAGUUUUCCUCACACCCGUCCACUUGUCUCUUGAAGAUUGGCGUCCACAACACCAACGGUUGGUUAGGUCAUGCAAGCAUUGUUACAAUUGAUAAAAACACAUAUUUUCAUUUAGUGAAUGUGAUAACCUGUACUAAUAAUUUGGUCAACUUAGCGAUGAUAACUCAAUGUAAGUAUUAACAAACUCGGUACGUGUUUGUUAUUGUCAAUAGUAUCUUUAAAUUGUACAACUCGCUUAUGUUUGACAAUUACUGAGUAAUUGCUUUGCUUAUUGCAUGCUAAUUGCUGAAAAUUGCUUUUUAUUUUAAAUUCCUUAGCUAAAAAUUGCUUUUUCUUUCACAUUUCUCUGCUUAUUGAAUGACUAUUGCUAACUCAUUAGAUAGAACCUACUUCUCAUAUAAGUAGGUGGAUGCGGCCUCGAUUAGCGGGGGAACCACAUGAAAAAAAGCGAGCUACUGGGUGUACCUCCUGGGUAGUUUGGAAAUCACCUAAAAUAUAUAUGUAUAUAUUUAUAAAUAAAAGUUAAUAUAUAUAAAUUAACAUUGUUAUUUUUUAACAGGAAAUGCACAAUGCUAAAAACUGCGUAGGAGAUUUUAAUACAAUAGUACUACCAAGCCUGAUGUUGGCCGCUAUUUCAAUGAAUGCAGCAGUGUGACAGCUAGCAAUCAAAAGUAACAAGAUAUCGAGGAAAUGCAGAUGGCAAUAAACUGUGUAGGAGUUCAUGAUUGCAAUAGAAUAAAAUCGACCAAGCUUGAAGUCAGCAGCCCCUUCAAUGAAUGCAGCAGUGUGACAGCCAGCAAUCAAAAGUUACAAGAUAUCGAGGAAAUGCAGAAGGCAAAAAACUGCGUAGGAGAUCAUUAAUACAAAAGUAUUAUAUAAACCAAACCUGAUGUUGCCAGCUCCUUCAAUGAAUGCAGCAGUGUGACAGCCAACAAUCAAAAGUAACAAGAUAUCGAGGAAAUGCAGAAGGCAAAAAACUGCGUAGGAGAUCAUUAAACAAUAGUAUUAUAUAAACCAAACCUGAUGUUGGCCGCUCAUUCAAAGAAUGCAGCAGUGUGACAGCCAGCAAUCAAAAGUAACAAGAUGUCGAGGAAAUGCAGAGUAUAAUAAACUGUGUAGGAGAUUAUGAUUGCAAUAGAAUAAAAUCGACCAAGCCUGAAGUCCUUCAAUGCACGCAGCAGUGUGACAGCCAGCAAUCAAAAGUUACAAGAUAUCGAGGAAAUACAGAAGGCAAAGAAGCAGAUGUCAUCAAAGAAGAUCUUUGUUCCUGCAAUGUUUCCGCAGACGAUACAACCAACAGAGCGAAGUGGAAGGAAAAGACUCGGAAUAAAGACCCCACCACCAUAUGGGAACAAUGCAAGGGAGAGAGAGAGAAUAUAAUGUUAUAUUUUUAUUUUUUGAUAACAUAAAAUAAA